rnacentral:rRNA from 1 species
UACGUAGGGUGCAAGCGUUGUCCGGAAUUAUUGGGCGUAAAGAGCUCGUAGGCGGUCUGUCGCGUCGGAUGUGAAAAUCCAGGGCUCAACCCUGGACCUGCAUUCGAUACGGGCAGACUAGAGUUCGGUAGGGGAGACUGGAAUUCCUGGUGUAGCGGUGAAAUGCGUUGAUAUCGAUAGGAACUCCGGUGGCGAAGGCGGCAUACUGGUCCACUUCUGACGCUGAGGCGCGAAAGCCAGGGGAGCAAACGGG